rnacentral:tRNA from 1 species
UUAAUUGAAACCAAAAAGAGGUAUAUCACUGUUAAUGAUAAAAAUGGAAUUAUUUCCCAGUUAAGGAA